ACCGAUGGAGAUGGCGGCUGCGGCUGAGUGACGGACGGUGGAGGCCCAGAGCCCGGGCCUGAAGGGGGGGACAAACCUGGGUGCCCGCAGGAGCCCGGCAGGGUACAUACAGAGGGUGUCUUACAAGUAUCAAGAACUUACUAUAUGUGGUUGAAUAAACAAUCAAGGUAAAGAGCAUCAAGUAAAAACUUCUGCUUGUUGAUAAGUACUUCAGACAUUCCCCCAGUGGCUGAAGUGGCAUAUGAAUUAUGAAGUUGGAUCAUUUGGAAUGAAUGUAAGAGAAUUGCCAAGGGCUCCUCCUACUCCAGAGAGGAAACCUCAUCCAGGGCCAUGAAGCCACUUCCUCACCAUCUGUGUGCUGCUUAAGCUAAUGCUGCGGGAACCAUGGUUCCUUGGGAGGAAUCAAGCUGACUCUUGGCAUGAGAUUCCUGCCUUCCUAGGGUUGAGAGCGGCACUGCCAUGGCUUCUCUGGACGACCCAGGGGAAGUGAGGGAGGGCUUCCUCUGCCCUCUGUGCCUGAAGGAUCUGCAGUCUUUCUAUCAGCUUCACUCACAUUACGAGGAAGAACACUCAGGGGAAGAC
rnacentral:lncRNA from 1 species